AUACAAUUACAUGUUAAAGUGCUAAUCUCCGAAAAAUUUAUGUUUGAAUGCCAAUUAUACAAACAAAAUUAACAAACAAAUUAACAAACAAAUUAUAUACAUAUAAAAUUAAUUUAAUACGGAUUAGUACUCGUUAGAUUUCAAUCACAAUCAAAUCGGAAUACGUCUUAAAUUGUUAGAAUAAAUACCGCACAGAAAUCUGAUUGUGAUUUAAAUCUAACUAAUUUUAUGAUAAAAAAUAAAUAAAUCAACUUACAGAUGAUCGCUAAAUUUAAAUAAAUACUUAAUUAAUCCGGAAGCGUGCGAGGCAUUAUCCUAAGGCGUAUUCCCGUCCUUACGUACGGGAUUAACCGGAAACAACACCCCAAGGUACGACCAAAAUUCCUUCUCUUGCGAGCACGAUCAUGAAGGAGGUUGACGAAAACUCUUUCAACACCCGAUGACAAAAAGGAUUAAGAAAUUGCAUAAAAUAGAAAU
rnacentral:lncRNA from 1 species